GGGGAUGUGGCGGAACUGGUAGACGCGCUGUCUUGAGGGGGCAGUGAGCUUGCUCGUGAGAGUUCAAAUCUCUCCAUCCCCACCA
rnacentral:tRNA from 1 species